CGCUCUCUCUCACCCUCUAUCCCUCUUCCCCUUCCCUCACCCCCUCUUUCCACGAGUUCAUGGCCAGCCCCUACCUCUCUCCCCUCUCCCCUCUUCCUCCUCCCUCCUCCUCCCCCCUUUCUCUGUCUCUACACCCUCAACUCCCCUCUCCGUGCCCUAAAUAGACUCUAUUCCAUACUAUACUGUGGCUGAUCCCUCAGUGGGAAGGGAUGCCUCAGCAUGGGCCCACAGAGGCACCCCCUUCCCCCACACCAUGCCACACUCUAGCAAACACAUUCCUGGCUUCCUUUAUCUUUUUUAUAAGCACAACAAUAGGCACAUGGCCAUUGGCAAUGAUGAGAUUUGGCCUUCAACAGAGAAUCCGUGACUGAGGAGCAGAGGAGACUAACAGUAGCAAGAGGAGCAAUGGUGGCACAACGCUUGGGAGACUACUCAGGCAAUAACUGAUUUGACAGCUCAGGGAAUCCCACAGAAGAGGAAGUAGGAAGAGUGCAAGAGCCAGGGCGGGUGGAGGACACCGCGCAAACAAGGCCUCUCCAUCAACACAAGCAAAGCUCAUAUAAACUCACAGAGACAGAGGCAGCGUGUACAAGGCCCGCACAGGUCUACGCCAGGCCCUCUGCUUAUGUGUCCAGUUUUCCCUUCAGAAAAGAGCAGCUCUUCCAAAGGCUUCAACCGAGUACAGCCUAUAGCGACAAGGAGACCAGGCAUGUGAUCUCACAUAAGGUAUUUUGUUUUAUUUUUGAAAAUUGAAUGAAUAAAUGAAACCCUAGCCAUAAGGCAAAGGUUGACAACCAA